rnacentral:lncRNA from 1 species
UGGGACCUGAAUGAGGGCUCUGGGCAGCCCCCAACCUGACUGGUGAUAACUGAGGGAGCCCAAAGCUAGACUUGGGGGCACCCCUACCCACUUAAAGCUUCCUUCUCUCCUCCUAUCUUUUCCUUUCCCCAAGCAGCAAUUUCCUUGCCCAAGACAAAAAAGAGGAUCAGAUCCAGAGGCAGGGGUUUGAGUCGCUGCUCUGUCACUCGCUGGCUUCUCCCAGGCCCCAUCCACCGAGCUGUAAAAUGGGUGUAAAGUUCUCAAACAGAUAUUCAGAGGAAGGAGAUAACACCAGAACGCAAAGCAAUUGCUAUGUAUCUCAGGACAGAGCCUAGGACGAGUCUGAAGUCAGACCCAAGCCCAAAUGAGGAUGCAAACCCCAGCUGUGCCUCUUCCUUGGUGUGUGACCCUGGUUUCCUUGCUGGGCAACUGUGAAGGUCUGAAAUCAUCUAGUGAAUGGAUUUGGUGCAGAGUAAGUGCAUGACAGUUGUUGAAGAUGACUACUGAUCAUUUGGGAUCCUUCACAUCUCCUCCACCAGGAAAGAAAGCUGGACUGCGCAGGUCGGGAAGAUUCCGGGGAGAUGCACAGCCUUUGCGUUCUGGGCUCAUCUGGCCUUCAACGUGUGAUUUUGAGAGUUGGAAGCGAGAAGAUUAUAACUCAGAAUGGCACGCGGGUGUGAAGCCGGCUGCCUUGCCAGCUAUUUGCCUGUAUUUAAAACACAUAUGGGUGAUAUUUUUAAAUAUCUUUGCUGUGUGAUUGAAAAACAUUGCAGUUGCUACUUCGUGGACGUGGGUUUUUAUGCAAACCCAGGGACGGAAUGAUGAGUGUAUGUUGUA